rnacentral:lncRNA from 1 species
GUCCUCAGCAUCUCCUAAAUGUUUGUCCUUUCCUCCUUUCAGGAUAAAUUCUUCCUGGUUCUUAAAGUCAGUUGAAUCGCACAAUUUUUUCUCAGCAGUUGCAAGAAUUACAGACUACCUGCUUACUGCUGGUCUGGGAUGUGGCUGCUUAAAGAAUGAAAUCUCAUGACCUGCUGUGGUUAUACCCAGGUGCUGGUGCGAAUGGUCAUUAUCCUGCCUGGCUGGAAGGUCCCUGGAGGGGGAUUUGUGGCAGCAGAAUUCUCACAUUCUCUAGGUGCUGAGGGUAAGUCUUCUCUCUCUCUCUCUAUCUCUGGCAGCUGAAUUCUCAGAGAGCUCUGUUAA